GGAAGGUGGGGAUGACGUCAAGUCCUCAUGGCCCUUAUGGGUAGGGCUUCACACGUCAUACAAUGGUCGGUACAGAGGGUUGCCAAGCCGCGAGGUGGAGCCAAUCCCCUAAAGACCGAUCGUAGUCCGGAUCGUAGUCUGCAACUCGACUACGUGAAGUCGGAAUCGCUAGUAAUCGCAGAUCAGCAUGCUGCGGUGAAUACGUUCCCGGGUCUU
rnacentral:rRNA from 1 species